ensembl:snoRNA small nucleolar RNA SNORA40
AACACUUGUGUUUGUUUUUAAUUUGUGGACAAAGACUAGAUAUAGGUGCAAAAAAAUCAAUCAUUUUUUGCCAUCCAGAACUCAUCAUUCAGUAUGAGUUUUAAUACAACAAAAAUUGUCUGU